rnacentral:rRNA from 1 species
GAGUGGCGAACGGGCGAGGAAUGCGUUUCUAACGUGCCCCAAGGUCGAGGAUAGCUCGGGGAAACCCGGGGUAAUACUCGAUGACCCCCAUGGAUCGCAUGGUUCGUGGGGCAAAGGCUUGCUGCCUUGGGAUCGGGAAACGCCCUAUCAGGUUGUUGGUGAGGUAACGGCUCACCAAGCCUAAGACGGGUAGCGGGUGUGAGAGCAUGACCCGCCGCAUCGGGACUGAGACACUGCCCGGACUCCUACGGGAGGCUGCAGCAACGGAUAUUGGGCAAUGAGCGAAAGCUUGACCCAGCAAUGCCGCGUGCAGGAGGAAGCCCCUCGGGGUGUAAACUGCUGUCAGGGUUUAGGAAGUUCUGACCAAACCCAAAGGAAGGGCCGGCUAACUUCGUGCCAGCAGCCGCGGUAAUACGAAGGGCCCAAGCGUUAAUCGGAAUCACUGGGCUUAAAGGGUGCGCGGGCGGAAUGGUCAGUGUCUUGUGAAAUCCCACGGNUCAACCGUGGAACUGCAGGGCAUACUGCCAUUCUUGAGGCCGGUAGAGGCCGCCGGAACUCUAGGUGUAGCGGUGAAAUGCGUAGAUAUCUAGAGGAACGCCAAAGACGAAGCGUAGGCGGCUGAGCCGGUUCUGACGCUCAGGCACGAAAGCGUGGGGAGCAAAACAGGAUUAGAUACCCUGGUAGUCCACGCCGUAAACGUUGUGCACUAGGUGCUGGAGGUUCUGACACCAUCAGCGCCGAAGCGAAAGUGAUUAGUGCACCGCCUGGGGAGUACGGUCGCAAGGCUAAAACUCAAAGGAAUUGACGGGGGCUCACACAAGCGGUGGAGCAUGUGGCUUAAUUCGAGGCAACGCGAAGAACCUUAUCCUGGGCUUGACAUGCAUGGAUUAACGCUGGGAAACCAGCGCCACACUCUUUGAGUGGAACAUGCACAGGUGCUGCAUGGCUGUCGUCAGCUCGUGCUGUGAAGUGUUGGGUUAAGUCCCUUAACGAGCGAAACCCCUGUCGCUAGUUACCAUCAGGUAAUGCUGGGGACUCUAGCGAGACUGCCGGUGUCAAACCGGAGGAAGGCGGGGAUGACGUCAAGUCCUCAUGGCCUUUAUGCCCAGGGCUGCACACGUGCUACAAUGGCGCCGACAGAGCGAAGCAAAACCGCGAGGUAGAGCAAAUCGCAAAAAAGGUGCCCCAGUUCGGAUUGCAGUCUGCAACUCGACUGCAUGAAGCCGGAAUCGCUAGUAAUCGCGUAUCACGCAACGACGCGGUGAAUACGUUCCUGAGCCUUGUACACACCGCCCGUCAAGUCAUGGAAGCCGGGAGUACCCGAAGU